AUUGAACGCUGGCGGCAUGCCUUACACAUGCAAGUCGAACGGUAACAGGUUAAGCUGACGAGUGGCGAACGGGUGAGUAAUGUAUCGGAACGUGCCCAGUCGUGGGGGAUAACUGCUCGAAAGAGCAGCUAAUACCGCAUACGACCUGAGGGUGAAAGCGGGGGAUCGCAAGACCUCGCGCGAUUGGAGCGGCCGAUAUCAGAUUAGGUAGUUGGUGAGGUAAAGGCUCACCAAGCCGACGAUCUGUAGCUGGUCUGAGAGGACGACCAGCCACACUGGGACUGAGACACGGCCCAGACUCCUACGGGAGGCAGCAGUGGGGAAUUUUGGACAAUGGGCGCAAGCCUGAUCCAGCCAUGCCGCGUGCGGGAAGAAGGCCUUCGGGUUGUAAACCGCUUUUGUCAGGGAAGAAAAGGUUCUGGCUAAUACCUGGGACUCAUGACGGUACCUGAAGAAUAAGCACCGGCUAACUA
rnacentral:rRNA from 1 species